ensembl:snoRNA
ACCCAGUGAUGACACCAAGGCGAAUACGAGCUCUCUGAAACAGGGACUGGGCUCUCCUGCACUCACGUUGGCUGGUAAUCUUGGCAGAGCAGCGGAGUUUUGCUGCUCUGCUGUAAGGGCCUGCCUACAUCAGAUCCAGUCCUGCUCCAAACACCUUCCUGUAAAGAGAUACGGAGAAGGAGACAGGGUGGGACUUAUAGUGUGUGUGUGUGUGUGUGCGUGCGUGCAGGUUGAGACUCUGUUUUCUGUGGAAUUCAAAUUCAUUGAGCUAUGAGCUUUCCUUAAUCUGAGGGAG